rnacentral:rRNA from 1 species
GACGAACGCUGGCGGCGUGCCUAAUACAUGCAAGUAGAACGCUGAAGGAGGAGCUUGCUCUUCUGGAUGAGUUGCGAACGGGUGAGUAACGCGUAGGUAACCUGCCUGGUAGCGGGGGAUAACUAUUGGAAACGAUAGCUAAUACCGCAUAACAGUAGAUGUUGCAUGACAUUUUCUUAAAAUGUGCAAUUGCACCACUACCAGAUGGACCUGCGUUGUAUUAGCUAGUUGGUGGGGUAACGGCUCACCAAGGCGACGAUACAUAGCCGACCCGAGAGGGUGAUCGGCCACAAUGGGACUGAGAAACGGCCCAGACUCCUAAGGGAGGCAGCAGUAGGGAAACUUCGGAAAUGGGCGGAAGUCUGACCGAGCAACGCCGCGGGAGGGGAGAAGGUUUUCGGAUCGUAAAGCUCUGUUGUAAGAGAAGAACGAGUGUGAGAGUGGAAAGUUCACACUGUGACGGUAUCUUAACAGAAAGCGACGGCUAACUACGUG